CGGAGGAUCCAAGCGUUAUCCGGAAUCAGUUGGGUUUAAAGGGUCCGUAGGCGGUUUGGUAAGUCAGUGGUGAAAGCCCAUCGCUCAACGGUGGAACGGCCAUUGAUACUGCCAGACUUGAAUUACUGGGAAGUAACUAGAAUAUGUAGUGUAGCGGUGAAAUGCUUAGAGAUUACAUGGAAUACCAAUUGCGAAGGCAGGUUACUACCGGUGGAUUGACGCUGAUGGACGAAAGCGUGGGUAGCGAACAGGAUUAGAUACCCUGGUAGUCCACGCCGUAAACGAUGGAUACUAGCUGUUGGUGGCAACAUCAGUGGCUAAGCGAAAGUGAUAAGUAUCCCACCUGGGGAGUACGUUCGCAAGAAUG
rnacentral:rRNA from 1 species